rnacentral:rRNA from 1 species
AACGAACGCUGGCGGCGUGGAUAAGACAUGCAAGUCGAACGCUGAUUCGAGGGUAGCAAUAUUCUCGGGUCAGAGUGGCGCAAGGGUGCGUAACACGUGGGCAAUCUACCGCGAAGACCGGAAUAACCUGCUGAAAGGCGGGCUAAUGCCGGAUGUGACUGUCUGGAGGAUUCUUCGGACACUCAAAGUUGGGGACCGUAAGGCCUGACACUUCGCGAUGAGCCCGCGGCCUAUCAGCUAGUUGGCGGGGUAACGGCCCACCAAGGCUAAGACGGGUAGCUGGUCUGAGAGGACGACCAGCCACACUGGAACUGAGACACGGUCCAGACACCUACGGGUGGCAGCAGUCGAGAAUUUUUCACAAUGGGCGAAAGCCUGAUGGAGCGACGCCGCGUGGGGGAUGAAGGGCUUCGGCUCGUAAACCCCUGUCAUUCGAGAACAAACCCUACGAUUUAAUAGAUCGUGGGCUGAUAGUAUCGGAAGAGGAAGGGACGGC